rnacentral:lncRNA from 1 species
AGAAAAAAAUAUCUCUCCCAAUGAUCCUAAGCCUUAUGUUUUAUCCUUUUCUACUUCAAAUGGCUUAGCCUUUGGGACUUGUUUUGUUGUUUGUUUUUCUGUUUGUUUAUUUUUGCUUUUUUGUCUGUCUGUUGAUUUAUUUGCUUUUUAGAUGAACCUAAAGCUUUGGGAAGAAAUGGGUGAGAUGCUAAUCUAUCCCAGUUCUAUAAUAUUAAUAGUUUGUAUAAGAAAACUAAUACAAUGUUGACA